AUAAACCGUUUGGAUCGGUUUUGGAAUUUUUGAUCGUUUCCGAGUUCCCCG
rnacentral:sRNA from 1 species